ensembl:snRNA U6 U6 spliceosomal RNA
GCGCUCACUUCGGCAGCACAUAUAUGAAAAUUGGAACGAUACAGAGAUUAGCAUGGCCCCUCUGCAAGGAUAACACGCAAAUCUGUGAAGUGUUCCAUAUUUAA